UUUAUUCAUUGUCUAAAAAAGAUUUGAGAGUUGAAACUCAAAACUAAAUGGCACCACAUGCGUAUGCUAGCUGGUCACUGCUUAUAUAUGUAAAAAAAUCAGUAUCUCUACUAUAAUGGACCAAUCAAAACUAUUCUAGGUCCACCAAAGAAAACGUCCCCCGCUGAGGGCCUCCAACCAUUAUGCACCUAGAAAAGUACACACAGAAAAUUGUCUCCAUUAAAAUCAAGGGCUAUCAAACCAUUUGAAUCCAAUCCGAUGGCUGCCGAUGAAAGUUUGAUGCAAGGCUUCAAACUCAGUCACCCCACGCUUCCGCCCUAACAGGACAUCUCCUCCGUGGCAUGCCGCCGCCUCCACGAUCUAGCCGCAGUUAUUCCGCCGCCGGCCGUCUCCUCGGUGGCCUCACGAUCCUGCUGCCGGCCGUCUCCUCCAUGGCCUGUCGCCUCCUCACUGAGCCGAUGGACAACGAUGGCGUUCUCGUCCUCCAGAUCCGAUGAAGAAGAAUAAGCUCUUGGGGUUAGAUAAGGCUCCCUCCCACAUUUUGUGUCGUUGUGGCCUCCGAUGACUCCAGUGCACCCCGCAGCAGCGAGAGGUUUUACUUUGGUCACAUCGGAGAUAAAUUCAGUAAUGAAGCUUGCUUUGUUGAUCACCUGCGUGUGGAUACCUGACUGCAUCAUGUCACUGAACAUUGGUUCAUGCAUGUAUGUUACAUGAUUGAAAAUGCAGGUUACGUUAUGAACCCCAUGACUAGCUGUCCAUUAGUAUUUUUGACGGGACUGGAUAUAAUUGUUGGUUCUGGGAAAGCAUCUUUUGGUGCCUUCCAAGAUUGGCAAGAAAUGAUGUGAUCUUUUGUUUAAGUUGGAUGGGGGCAAGAGCAUCAUAUUCUUUAGAACCAACUAGAAGGCGUCCUGUUUGGUUAGUUCACUGCAAGUUUGUGGAGUAAUGUCAAUGUAGGGAUGUGUAAGUUUAUUUCAAGUUUGGUUCUUCUAUUGCAGAUGAAAUCCAUAGUUCCCUUCUGAAAAGUGAUCGACCUGGCUCAAAUCUAAGCUCUGAUCGAACUCAAUACAUUGCGUACCUUUAAUUUAAUUAGGUUUUAUUAAAUUAUUUAUAUUCUGUUGCAGCUUCCUUUGUCGUGCAUGGAAAUAUAUGGUGAAUGCAGUGCCUGAACCUGGGAUAUAUGCCCAUGUCCCUUCAGUGCGCCCACUCCAUGAAAAUAUAGAAGCUGCCUCUCUUUGUUACUAUAUCUAGCUUCGACUAGCUCAAGCGAACAUGCUCGAACCUCACAUUGAUGCUUCACGAGACUGUUCAAAUAAGGACAAGAGUACUACACAGUAUAGCAUCAAACAUUCCAGAGAUGAAGACCUGUCAAAAAUUUAAUGAAAUUCUUUAGGUUCGCUGCCGGAUCGAAGAUGAUUUCUUUUUUACUUGCCUGA